GGAGUCUAGCAUGUGCGCGAGUCAUUGGGUAAGAAAAUUAUUAAUAAACUAAAGGCGAAAUGAAAGUGAAGACGUGCCUUGCGCGCGCGCGUUUAGGGAAGAUGGGCGAUUCCUUUAAACGGAUCGUCCCGCAUUCCCGGGGCGUCUCUUUGUCUCCGCACGUGCUUGUCGCGUGCGCGAGAUGAGGCGCACCCAGAGCGUACACGCUGGGACCCGAAAGAUGGUGAACUAUGCCUGGUCAGGACGAAGUCAGGGGAAACCCUGAUGGAGGUCCGUAGCGAUUCUGACGUGCAAAUCGAUCGUAAGAACUGGGUAUAGGGGCGAAAGACUAAUCGAACCAUCUAGUAGCUGGUUCCUUCCGAAGUUUCCCUCAGGAUAGCUGGUGCUCGUAAUGAAAUAUUAAUAAAAUAAAUAUAUAAAUAAAAAACGAGUCUCAUCCGGUAAAGCGAAUGAUUAGAGGCAUUGGGGUCGAAACGGCCUCAACCUAUUCUCAAACUUUAAAUGGGUGAGAUCUUCGGCUUGCUUAAAUGUGAUGAAGCCGCAAGAUCGGAUCAGAGUGCCAAGUGGGCCAUUUUUGGUAAGCAGAACUGGCGCUGUGGGAUGAACCAAACGUCGAGUUAAAGCGCCUAAAUCGACGCUUAUGGGAUACCAUGAAAGGCGUUGGUAACUUAAGACAGCAGGACGGUGGCCAUGGAA
rnacentral:rRNA from 1 species